rnacentral:rRNA from 1 species
GUAGGUGGCAAGCGUUGUCCGGGAAUCAUUGGGCGUAAAGCGCGCGCAGGCGGUUCUUUAAGUCUGAUGUGAAAGCCCACGGGCUCAACCGUGGAGGGUCAUUGGAAACUGGAGGACUUGAGUACAGAAGAGGAAAGCGGAAUUCCACGUGUAGCGGUGAAAUGCGUAGAGAUGUGGAGGAACACCAGUGGCGAAGGCGGCUUUCUGGUCUGUAACUGACGCUGAGGCGCGAAAGCGUGGGGAGCAAACAGGAUUAGAUACCCUGGUAGUCCACGCCGUAAACGAUGAGUGCUAAGUGUUAGGGGGUUUCCGCCCCUUAGUGCUGCAGCUAACGCAUUAAGCACUCCGCCUGGGGAGUACGGCCGCAAGGCUG